rnacentral:rRNA from 1 species
AUUGAACGCUGGCGGCAGGCCUAAUACAUGCAAGUCGAACGGCAGCACAGCAGAGCUUGCUCUGUGGGUGGCGAGUGGCGGACGGGUGAGGAAUACAUGGGAAUCUGCCCAGUCGUGGGGGAUAACGUAUGGAAACGUACGCUAAUACCGCAUGCGCCCUACGGGGGAAAGCCGGGGACCGCAAGGCCUGGCGCGAUUGGAUGAGCCCAUGUUCGAUUAGCUAGUUGGCGGGGUAAAGGCCCACCAAGGCGACGAUCGAUAGCUGGUCUGAGAGGAUGAUCAGCCACACUGGAACUGAGACACGGUCCAGACUCCUACGGGAGGCAGCAGUAGGGAAUAUUGGACAAUGGGGGCAACCCUGAUCCAGCCAUGCCGCGUGAGUGAAGAAGGCCCUCGGGUUGUAAAGCUCUUUUGUCCGGAAAGAAAAGCAAUCGGUUAAUACCCGGUUGUUCUGACGGUACCGGAAGAAUAAGCACCGGCUAACUUCGUGCCAGC